CAAUGUUUGCGCAUACAUAUUUGCUGUAUGAUAAAUAUUUCCAGGUAGCAACACCUUGUGCUACAGUAUUAGGAGGAUAAAGUACUAUGCAAAACGGUAAAGUAAAAUGGUUCAACAACGAAAAAGGUUUCGGUUUUAUCGAAGUUGAAGGCGGAGACGAUGUAUUUGUACAUUUCUCAGCUAUCGAAGGAGACGGCUACAAGUCUUUAGAAGAAGGCCAGGAAGUUUCUUUUGAAAUCGUUGAAGGCAACCGUGGACCACAAGCAGCUAACGUUGUGAAAUUAUAAUUACAAACGUACAUUAUAUUUGAUCAUAUACGAUGCAAGAAAGAGGCUGAGUUAUCUCAGCCUCUUUCUU
rnacentral:other from 1 species